CAACCCUCAAGCAAUGCUUGGUAUUGGAUGUCAUCACGUCUGGUGCAUCUCAAAAGCAUCGGCGGUAGCGUUUAGCUUCUAGCAUAGUAAUUUUCUUGCUUUGGAGUCCUAAAUGUCUGCCUGCUGAGAACCCUAAUUUUAUCAGG
rnacentral:misc_RNA from 1 species